rnacentral:rRNA from 1 species
GCGGAGGAAAAGAAACUAACAAGGAUUCCCCUAGUAACUGCGAGUGAAGAGGGAAAAGCUCAAAUUUAAAAUCUGGCAGCUUCGCUGUCCGAGUUGUAAUUUAGAGAAGUGUUACCCUUGCUGGACCGUGUACAAGUUUCCUGGAACGGAACGUCAUAGAGGGUGAGAAUCCCGUCUUUGACACGGACUCCCAGCAUGUUGUGGUGCGCUCUCGAAGAGUCGUGUUGUUUGGGAAUGCAGCACUAAAUGGGUGGUAAAUUCCAUCUAAAGCUAAAUAUUGGCGAGAGACCGAUAGCAAACAAGUACCGUGAGGGAAAGAUGAAAAGAACUUUGGAAAGAGAGUUAAACAGUACGUGAAAUUGUUGAAAGGGAAACGCUUGAAGUCUAGUCGCGUCGGUUGGAAAUCAGUCUUGCUUCUGCUUGAUGUACUUUCUGAUCGACGGGUCAGCAUCAGUUUUGACCGUUGGAUAAAGGUUGGGGGAAUGUGGCAUCCUCGGAUGUGUUAUAGCCUCUGAUUGCAUACAACGGUUGGGACUGAGGAACUCAGCACGCCGCAAGGCCGGGUACUUGUACCACGUUCGUGCUUAGGAUGCUGGCAUAAUAGCUUUAAUCGACCCGUCUUGA